rnacentral:tRNA from 1 species
AUUUAAAUAGCUUAUAUUUAGAGUGUAACAUUGAAGAUGUUAAGGAGAUUAUUUAAUCUUUAAAUA